GCCGCCGAGCCCGGCCUCCUCUGCCCGCCCCCAGCGUUUUAAAUGAUGCAGCUCCUGGGAGAAUUUCUACCGGUCGGCUCCGAGCAGGAAGUGUCGUCAGGAGGCCAUUUUUAAAGCCUCCUGCGGGCCUCGGAGCACCCACGCUGUUAGACGUGGACUCGCCUCGGAUAGUGUGUACCAUACAUAAUGUGAGUGUGCCAACAAUAAACUUGAAAACCAGA